CCGAGUAUGGAAUUGUGAUAGCGAGAUUGAGGUUGUACUCCCUGGCAAGAGUACAACACCCCCGCUAAUGUGGGGUUCUCUCCUUAGGAGGGCAAAACGUUGUACUCCAUAUGGCUCACAUGGUGUAGUUAUAUCGAUUAUAAGAAACUCCCACGUCCAUAAUGAUCUAAGUACCAUGAGAUACCGAGUCACUCUAAGUCAUGAGUCAAA
rnacentral:lncRNA from 1 species